AGUGAACGCUGGCGGUAGGCCUAACACAUGCAAGUCGAACGGCAGCACAGUAAGAGCUUGCUCUUACGGGUGGCGAGUGGCGGACGGGUGAGGAAUACAUCGGAAUCUACUUUUUCGUGGGGGAUAACGUAGGGAAACUUACGCUAAUACCGCAUACGACCUACGGGCGAAAGCAGGGGAUCUUCGGACCUUGCGCGAUUGAAUGAGCCGAUGUCGGAUUAGCUAGUUGGCGGGGUAAAGGCCCACCAAGGCGGCGAUCCGUAGCUGGUCUGAGAGGAUGAUCAGCCACACUGGAACUGAGACACGGUCCAGACUCCCACGGGAGGCAGCAGUGGGGAAUAUUGGACAAUGGGCGCAAGCCUGAUCCAGCCAUACCGCGUGGGUGAAGAAGGCCUUCGGGUUGUAAAGCCCUUUUGUUGGGAAAGAAAAGCAGCAGGUUAAUACCCCGCUGUUCUGACGGUACCCAAAGAAUAAGCACCGGCUAACUUCGUG
rnacentral:rRNA from 1 species